rnacentral:tRNA from 1 species
GGAACAGUGGCUGAGUGGUAAAGAACUUAGCUUCCGAACUAAGGUAGUCCAGGGUUCUAACCCUGGUGUUUUU